CCACAAGCAUUGUCAAGCCUUGGCAGCAUAUACAUGGAUUGCAACAUGAUGAGUGUUCCUGCAUCAUUCUAUAAGGCAACUUUAGCAGUUACAACAGGGAUAUCUGCGCCCUGCAACAACUUGGCUAUUAUAUACAAGCAACAGAUACUAGGCAGCACCUACACA